rnacentral:rRNA from 1 species
GACGAACCGUGCGAACGUUAUUCGGAAUCACUGGGCUUAAAGCGCGUGUAGGCGGGGCGGUGCGUCGGCCGCUGAAAUCCCCCGGCUUAACCGGGGAAGUGGCGCCGAUACGGCCGCCCUGGAGGGACGUAGGGGGAGCUGGAACUUCCGGUGGAGCGGUGAAAUGCGUUGAGAUCGGAAGGAACGCCCGCGGCGAAAGCGAGCUCCUGGACGUCUGCUGACGCUGAGACGCGAAAGCCAGGGGAGCGAACGGG